rnacentral:miRNA from 1 species
UGCAUAUACUCACAUGCAAACA